rnacentral:rRNA from 1 species
UACGUAGGGGGCAAGCGUUGUCCGGAAUCAUUGGGCGUAAAGCGCGUGUAGGCGGUUCGGUAAGUCGGCUGUGAAAGUCCAGGGCUCAACCCUGGGAUGCCGUUCGAUACUGCCGGACUAGAGUUCGGAAGAGGCGAGUGGAAUUCCCGGUGUAGCGGUGAAAUGCGCAGAUAUCGGGAGGAACACCAAUGGCGAAGGCAGCUCGCUGGGACGUUACUGACGCUGAGACGCGAAAGCGUGGGGAGCAAACAGG